rnacentral:tRNA from 1 species
GGGGAUAUAGCUCAGGUGGUAGAGUGCCUGCUUCCAAUGCCCAAGGCCCUGGGUUCAGUUUCCAGCAUCACCA